CUGUAUAUAGGAAAAGAGACUAGUACCCACAAUGCAAAUUAUAUUUACCUUAGUAUGGUGAAGGUAAUACUUGCUAAUUAACUUCAAAACCAGUAGUGCCUGUUAUGGUUGCCUCCAGGCUGGCUGAAAGUUGGACCGUAGAAAGGAUGCUCCUAGCGCUCACCACAGGACCAUCAGCACCGUAGACACCAUAACUACUGUGUAGACACCAUAAGUACUGCAGACUCAAAGAACCGCCACUGCUGGGCUAGGAUCUCGCCGUCUGCUAUCCACCCUGGACCUACGACCAAGCUCCAGGUUCCAGUAGGUGAAUCUCUUCCUUCUGUAGAGCGAAGCAGGAUCAGGAACAAGAGCUCAGUAGCUAAGGGAGUAUGAAGAGCAUAGCAAUCCCUGUAGUGAUUAUAGCUGUCCCCGAAUGGGACUUAGUCUCUGCGGCUGUAAAAUCAUUGUGGGAGAAGGUAGGGCUCAGCGGUGUUUGCGGAAAUGUGUAGCCAAUUUUAGUUCCAUGAGUUUGGCUACACAUACCGCUGACCUCGUGCAAAUGAUCAAAGAUGG